UACGGGGGGAGCAAGCGUUGUUCGGAUUUACUGGGCGUAAAGGGCUCGUAGGUGGCCAAUUAAGUCAGGCGUGAAAUCCCCAGGCUCAACUUGGGAACUGCGUCUGAUACUGGUUGGCUUGAAUUCGGGAGAGGGAUGCAGAAUUCCAGGCGUAGCGGUGAAAUGCGUAGAUAUCUGGAGGAAUACCGGUGGCGAAGGCGGCAUCCUGGACCGAGAUUGACACUGAUGAGCGAAAGCCAGGGGAGCAAACGGG
rnacentral:rRNA from 1 species